GAUGAACGCUGGCGGCGUGCCUAAUACAUGCAAGUCGAGCGGAAGGACGAGAAGCUCGCGUAACUGAUGUUAGCGGCGGACGGGCGAGUAACACGUGGAUAACCAACCUAUAAGACAGGGAUAACUUCGGGAAACCGGAGCGAAUACCGGAUAAUAUUUUGAACCGCACGGUUCCAAAGUGAAAGAAGGUCUUGCUGUCACUUAUAGAUGGAUCCGCGCUGCAUUAGCUAGUUGGUAAGGUAACGGCUUACCAAGGCAAGGAUGCAAUGGCGACCUGAGGUGGGGGUCAGCCACACUGGAACGGAGCCACGGUCCAGACCCCUAUGGUACGCAGCAGUGCGGUAUCUUCUGUAGUGGGCGAAGGCCUGGCGGGACAACGCCGCGUGGGGUAUGGAGGGCCGCGGAUCUUAAUACUCUGUUAUUUGUGUGGAACAUUUGUGUAAGUAACGUGGCACAUCUUGACGGUACCGAAUCAGAAAGCCCCGGCUAACUACGUG
rnacentral:rRNA from 1 species